rnacentral:tRNA from 1 species
GCCUGGGUGGCUCAGUCGGUUGAGCGUCUGACUGUGGUUCAGGUCAUGAUCUCAUGGCUCGUGAGUUCAAGCCCCGCAUUGGGCU